AGAGUUUGAUCCUGGCUCAGGACGAACGCUAGCGGUAUGCUUAACACAUGCAAGUCGAACGUGAAAAUCUUUUCGGAGGUGAGUAAAGUGGCGCACGGGUGAGUAACACGUAGAUAAUCUAUCUUAUAGAUCGGGAUAACUAUUCGGAAGAAUAGCUAAUACUGGAUAAUACUUUAAAGUUAGUUCUUUUUAGUUGAAAGGAAGCAAUUCUGCUAAAAGGUGAGUCUGCGGAUCAUUAGCUAGUUGGUAGGGUAAAGGCCUACCAAGGCUACGAUGAUUAGCGGGUCUGAGAGGAUGAUCCGCCACACUGGAACUGAGACACGGUCCAGACUCCUACGGGAGGCAGCAGUGGGGAAUUUUGCGCAAUGGGGGAAACCCUGACGCAGCAAUACCGCGUGAGUGAAGAAGGCUUUUGGGUCGUAAAGCUCUUUGUCUUAAGGAAGAAAUAUGACGGUACUUAAGGAAUAAGCACCGGCUAACUCCGUGCCAGCAGCCGCGGUAAUACGGAGGGUGCAAGCGUUGUUCGGAAUCACUGGGCGUAAAGAGUGCGUAGGCGGUUUGAUAAGCUAAAUGUGAAAUCCCUAAGCUUAACUUGGGAAUUGCAUUCAGAACUGUUAGACUAGAGAUAUUUAGAGGUAGAUGGAAUUUCUGGUGUAGAGGUGAAAUUCGUAGAUAUCAGAAGGAACACCCGUAGCGAAGGCGGUCUACUGGAAAUAAUCUGACGCUGAGGCACGAAAGCAUGGGUAGCAAACAGGAUUAGAUACCCUGGUAGUCCAUGCUGUAAACGAUGGAUACCUGCUGUUUGGUCUUAGACCGACCAAGUGGCGCAGCUAACGCGAUGAGUAUCCCGCCUGGGGAGUACGGUCGCAAGACUAAAACUCAAAGGAAUUGACGGGGGCCCGCACAAGCGGUGGAGCAUGUGGUUUAAUUCGACGCAACGCGAAGAACCUUACCUGGGUUUGAUAUUCCUUGAUAGCUCUAGAGAUAGAGUUUUCUCUUCGGAGACAAGGUAACGGGUGCUGCAUGGCUGUCGUCAGCUCGUGUCGUGAGAUGUUGGGUUAAGUUCCGCAACGAGCGCAACCCCUGUCCUUAGUUGCCAGCAUUUCGGAUGGGCACUUUAAGGAUACUGCCGGUGUUAAGCCGGAGGAAGGUGGGGAUGACGUCAAGUCCUCAUGGCCCUUAUGUCCAGGGCUACACACGUGCUACAAUGGCGACUACAAAGAGAUGCAAGACCGCAAGGUGGAGCUAAUCCCAAAAAAAGUCGUCUCAGUUCGGAUCGCAGUCUGCAACUCGACUGCGUGAAGUUGGAAUCGCUAGUAAUCGUAGAUCAGAAUGCUACGGUGAAUACGUUCCCGGGCCUUGUACACACCGCCCGUCACACCAUGGAAGUUGAUAUUGGCAGAAGACAUUGAGCUAACCUUACGGAGGCAGAUGUCUAAGUUGCUAUUGAUAACUGGGGUGAAGUCGAAACAAGGUA
rnacentral:rRNA from 1 species